GCCCGUGGCACUUGAACUCUGGAAGCUUUCUCGCUGUGCUUCUUGAAAUUCUUUGCCAGUUGGAGAUCCAGUGUUUGUUGAUUUCCAGCCCACCAUAUGAGUUUUCCUCUGCUCGGGGCCUUCCACCAUGCCACUUCUGUGCUAGCCUGCUGACCAUGGACUGCAUCUUCUGAAUCAUGAGCCAAAGCAAACCUUUGCAUGGACCCACCAAGAUCAAGCUCACUCGUAUUCCUGAGAAAUAAAUAAUCCCGUGCUCCUCCUACAGUUGACGUUUUGAUUUUCUGACUUCAUCGUUGAGCUACAACAGGACCCUCAUUGGUUUGCCCCCCUUCCCCCAGGUAACUUGAUCGAAGAGGUCCUCCUGUGGACCGAAGACCACUGCUUUCGAGGCACCUUUUCAGAUUUCUCAUCAGAUGAGGUCUGCUUGCUAACAUUUCUUCUCUUAUGUUGGUGGAUGCUACCCCACUUCAUUUCCACGACUCACCCCUGUGCUAGCCUGCCGUC